UACAGAGGUCUCAAGCGUUGUUCGGAUUCAUUGGGCGUAAAGGGUGCGUAGGUGGCGGGGUAAGUCAGGUGUGAAAUUUCGGAGCUUAACUCCGAAACUGCAUUUGAUACUGCCUUGCUUGAGGACUGGAGAGGAGACUGGAAUUCACGGUGUAGCAGUGAAAUGCGUAGAUAUCAGGAGGAACACCUGCGGUGUAGACGGCUUUCUGGACCAUUGUUGACGCUGAGACACGAAAGCGUGGGUAGCAAACAGG
rnacentral:rRNA from 1 species